CCUACGGGUGGCAGCAGUGAGGAAUAUUGCACAAUGGGCGCAAGCCUGAUGCAGCAACGCCGCGUGCGGGACGAAGGCCUUCGGGUCGUAAACCGCUUUUCUGAGGGAAGAGCAAGGACGGUACCUCAGGAAUAAGUCUCGGCUAACUACGUGCCAGCAGCCGCGGUAAAACGUAGGAGGCGAGCGUUAUCCGGAUUUACUGGGCGUAAAGCGCACGCAGGCGGCUCUGUGAGUCGGACGUGAAAGCUCUCGGCUUAACCGGGAGAUGUCGUUCGAUACUGCAGGGCUUGAGGUAGGGAGAGGAAUGCGGAAUUCCCGGUGUAGUGGUGGAAUGCGUAGAUAUCGGGAGGAACACCUGUGGCGAAAGCGGCAUUCUGGCCCUCACCUGACGCUGAGGUGCGAAAGCGUGGGUAGCAAACAGGAUUAGAUACCCGAGUAGUC
rnacentral:rRNA from 1 species